rnacentral:rRNA from 1 species
AUUGAACGCUGGCGGCAGGCCUAACACAUGCAAGUCGAACGGUAACAGGAAAAGCCUUGCUUCUUUGCUUUCGCGUCGCGGGCGGGUGUGUAAUGUCUGUAACACUCCUUUAUGACUGGGGUUACCUCCUGGAACCGUUACCUAUUCCCGCAUAUCUUCUCAACCCCAAAAUUCAAGAGCUUCAGACCUCUUUCCUUCCGCUUUUCCCGGAUUGCAUUAGCUAGUAGGUGGGGUAACGGCUCACCAAGGCGACGAUCCAUAGCUGGUCUGAGAGGUUGACCAGCCACACUGGAACUGAGACACGGUCCAGACUCCUACGGGAGGCAGCAGUGGGGAAUAUUGCACAAUGGGCGAAAGCCUGACGGAGCAACGCCGCGUGUGUGAAGAAGGCCUUCGGAUUGUAAAGUACUGUUAGUGGGGAGGAAGAGAGGAAAGAUAAAAUCUGCACUUAUUGACGUUACCUGAAGAAAAAGCAACGGCUAACUCCGUG